rnacentral:rRNA from 1 species
CGUAGGGCGCGAGCGUUAUCCGGAAUUAUUGGGCGUAAAGAGCUCGUAGGCGGUUUGUCGCGUCUGCCGUGAAAGUCCGGGGCUUAACCCCGGAUCUGCGGUGGGUACGGGCAGACUAGAGUGCAGUAGGGGAGACUGGAAUUCCUGGUGUAGCGGUGAAAUGCGCAGAUAUCGGGGAGGAACACCGAUGGCGAAGGCAGGUCUCUGGGCUGUAACUGACGCUGAGGAGCGAAAGCAUGGGGAGCGAACAGGAUU